UCGUCAGCUCGUGUCGUGAGAUGUUGGGUUAAGUCCCGCAACGAGCGCAACCCUUGCCUUUAGUUGCCAGCAUUAAGUUGGGCACUCUAGAGGGACUGCCGAGGAUAACUCGGAGGAAGGUGGGGAUGACGUCAAAUCAUCAUGCCCCUUAUGCUUAGGGCUACACACGUGCUACAAUGGGUGGUACAGAGGGUUGCCAAGCCGUGAGGUGGAGCUAAUCCCUUAAAGCCAUUCUCAGUUCGGAUUGUAGGCUGAAACUCGCCUACAUGAAGCUGGAGUUACUAGUAAUCGCAGAUCAGAAUGCUGCGGUGAAUGCGUUCCCGGGUCUUGUACACACCGCCCGUCACACCAUGGGAGUUGGGGGCGCCCGAAGCCGGUUAGCUAACCUUUUAGGAAGCGGCCGUCGAAGGUGAAACCAAUGACUGGGGUGAAGUCGUAACAAGGUAGCCGUAUCGGAAGGUGCGGCUGGAUCACCUCCUUUCUAAGGA
rnacentral:rRNA from 1 species